UCAAUGGACAAGAAGAAAACAAAGGCGAAAAAAUUAGAGACUAGACCAGAUAAACCAAGAAAAACUUCUAUUAUUGACCAAGAAGAAAGCAAUGGAGCAUAAGUAGGUUCACCAGGAUAAUUAGCUGCAAUGAAACCAAAAGUGCUUUUUCAGAGUUUCUAAACUUCUAAUGCUUUUCUAUUAUUUUUUUUAAUCAUAUCUAGUCAAGCAUGGCCAAACGCAAUUAACUAACAAUCAUCUGCGCACUAACAUGAAUGCAUCGAAAUGAUAUUAUUUUGCAUUUAUCUUUUCCACUGAGCGGAAGACAAAAAGUUGAGGAAAGCGGCACCAACAACAACUUCACACAAAACCUCUCAAACAAAAACAAAAAAGCAUUACAAAAAAUCUGAAGUUUAAGAGAGGAGAAAAUGAAACAUCCAAAUUAUGCUUUCCCCAGUGUGCUAGCCUCUAUUCAGCUGGGUUCAACAGAAGUUGAGGAUUUUACAUGCAUUAUUAAGCGCGUAGAAUCUGUAGAUAGAAUAGUAAAAUUGCUUAAUGAAAGUAUCAUGCCUCUUAAAAUAUUUCAACUUAUUUUAUUUACAUCCAAAUUGUGCUUUCCCAAUGUGCUAGCCUCUAUUCAGCCAGGUUCAACCAAAGUUGAGGAUUUUACAUGCCUUAGUAAGCGUGUAGAAAAGCAGAUGGAAUAGUAAAAUUGCUUAGAGAAACUAUCACGCCUCUCAACGUACUUCAACUUAUUUUAUUUUCUCACUUACAGCAAUCCAAAUAAGUACCUUAAGCCACUGCUUUUAGCUGAUAACAAAUAAUUAGUUUACCUAGAAAAAACAGAGGUCGUUGCUCCAGAUUCAAGGUUUCUAUAGGAAAUCAAUCUUAACUAAACCCGUAUCUUCAAAGAUGAAGAAAGCAAAGAAGUACUAGUUGCCCAUAGCAUGUGGACCAGUCUAAAUUAGAUGGUUGGCCAGUUCAGUGACUUCAGUCAUCUUUUACCAUUUUGUCCAAUUACAGUACAACCGUACAAGAAAAAUAUGACAAUUUUUUACUUUUGUUUCGAGUUGAAGAAACUCAAGAGUCAAGGGGAUAGAACUUUACUACAUGCUUAUUGUAGGCGUCCAUUUUACAAAAUUCAAUGGUCCAGGCUCGGCCGGGUCUUUAAAUGAUUGGUUGCAAGUUCCCAGUGUAGCGACUUUCGUGCAACUCGACUAAUCUUGGGCUCUAAAAUUAACGACCGGGCAAACCUCAAGUUGGCCCAGAUGGUUUUUUGUUGGCAGUGGAAGUCAAACCUGCAAGCUUGGGAGAAAAAGUCUACUCAAUGCCAUGCUCCCACUUGACCAAUCCCUUACGGGUGAGUAAUAAUUACAUUUUAUGAGCAUUCAAUAGAGGUGUCAAACGGGCCGGGCCGGCACGAGCACGGCACGUUUAGCGUCGGCACAGUAUGGGCCUAGCAUGACACGCCACGAACACUAAAGUGGGCUGGGCCAUCGUUUUGGAGCCCACGGCAUGGCACGGGCACUAUUAGUCAUGGGGCACGGCACGAAGCAUGGCAUAGACACGUAUAAGGGCACAAUAAAAAUACUAGUGAUGCAUUUCUAGUUGAGAAUGCAUAUGAUUGAUAGUUGAGUAGUGAAGCACAGAAUGCAUAUGAUUGAUAGUUGAGUAGGUGCCAACCUAGUUAGGAUGUAUUCAAACCGUAUUGACGCAUUUCUUAUUUAUAAUUACAUUCAUUGUAUUACAAGGUUUAAUUAUCAAUAAAAUGUUUUGUAUUUUUUGAAUUAAAUGUGUUGAUUUUUAGUUGUAAUUAUCAAUUUAAAAAAAUAAUGGCAAUUUUUUAGAACUUUUUUUUAGCUUCACAAGUCUCGAUUGUGCACGGGCACGAAAAUCAGCACUGCACAACACGACACGGCAUGAAUUGUGGUGGGCCAUGGCUAGGCCAAGAAUAUUUUGAUAAAGCAUGGCACAACAAGGUUAGUAAAUGGGUCUGGCAAGACACGGCACGAAGCAUGCUAGGCACAGGAAUAAAUGGGCUAGGCCGGCACGGCACGGCCCAUUCGACACCUCUAGCAUUCAAUGACAAUUGGAAGACACAUGUGGUCGCGGAAGCCGCUGAAUUGGUGUUGAAGCAUUAUAUUUUUUCAGGUUGGGGUUUCAGGCUGAGAUCUUUAGCCCUUCUGAAAAGGCCUAAGCCUUAUAAAGGAGAAGGACAAGGUGGCCGUGAAAUGAACAAAGGCAAUUUGCUUGAUACGGCAAUAUAAUGGGCUAGAUUCUUUUAUCUAUUUUCCUCAACCAAAAUGAGAUGGAUUUCUAGAUCAGCCAAUAACAUGGAGAUUCCUUGAGCAAAAUAUGGCCUCCGUCAAUUUUUGCUGUGAAAUCUCCUCUCUAACAAUCCUCACUCCUCAAUGAGAAUAGGUAAUAGUUAAUGAUGUUUAGGUGUGGACGAGAAUAAAAAUUGACAAUGUACCUCAAGCUUUUAGAUGAGCCGGUGCAACAAUUUAACGAGGUGCCAUAACUGACAGUAGAUCCUCAAGUUUGAACCUAUGCACGUUUUGGGGCCAUUUAUGCAGGAAAGUCUAGUCACAGUAACAAACAUAACAUUACAAAUAAGGAUUUCCAUCUCGCUAACAACUUGAACUUCUAGAUGAAUUGGUGGCCACCAAUUUAACACACGCUUUAUCUUCUUCACUUUUCUUUCCCUUUUUCUAUAGCCAUACAUCAAAUACGAGGACCGAGAACUCUAAAAGAGCAAAAAGUAAAAGUACCAAGGGUUAGAGGUUUUCAGAUAUACAUUUUUGUUUCUUUCCACACGCUUGUGAAAAUAAGAAAAGAAAAAUAAGAAAAAUAGAAGAAAAAAAAUCGAACUGGAAGAUGCCAAUAGACCUUCACAAAAAUUUUGCCUUGUUUUCUUUCCUUUGUAUCGAGGGAAGACCACACCUAUGCAGAGCAAAUUAUAUAACAGCCAAUUUCGCACCACUAGGCAGUUCUACAUACAUAAUGCAUGACAAAGAAAAGAAUGGCAAAUACUAAUCACACAUCUUUAGUUUGGUGGUAGAAUUAGAUCUCAAAGAGUGCAAAACACAUACUAUUUACACAACACUUGCUACAGAUGAUGUGAUAUGCACCAUGUAGUUUCCUAGUUCCUACUACUUUCAUAUGCAUGAUAGCAACAAUAGCUUACCACUUGACACUCCAUUCAGAUUGUCUCUCUCUAGAGUUUGGAUUCUUCUAUAGCAUCCAAGAUUUUCAUUAAAUAAUUACAAGCUUAAAAAAUGAGGCUGCCUUUCUUUUUCCUCUUUUUCCCCUUAAACUUCAAUAGUUCUAACGGUUCGAAGAAUGGCGCCUCGUGAUGAAAAGAUCAGAAUGAGUGUCAUAACUCAAAGGCCAGUCAACAAGAUAAAAGUGCAGACAGUAAAUUGUAGCUCCAUCAUGCCAUUAAAAAAGUUAAAAGAUGGACAGAAUCGAAAUAUAUGCGCCAAUACUCACUCCACAUAGAAGAUAAACCUAGAAAAUUAAUAAAUUACUCGAGAAUAUUGACGAGUGGGCAUUAUUCACCUAAUGCUGAGAAUGAAAACAACAACCCGGAUGUAAGGGGCAACCCUGAAUGGAAGGUUAAAGUCGGUCACUGGAGAUACAUACAGAACAUCGACUAAUAAAUCAGCAACC